rnacentral:lncRNA from 1 species
AUGAGAAGGAAAAGCAGUGGACUAGAGCUGGCUUCUGCUGAAGGAAGACAUGUCACACCUGAGGGCUUGGGCCAGGCAGGGGGAACCCUCAGGACGCAGACACGGUCGUUUACCACGAAGGAGCAAGAGACUCAGAGCGGGCUUCCUGGAGGAGGUGUCUCCCCCAAGCCAGGGCAGGAAGGCAAGAGGAAUUCCCUCCUACGUGGGCAAGUGGAGCGGUCUACCUUUUUGUUUUAUUCGGGCCUUCCCCUGAUUGCACGAGGCCCACCAUGGUCGGAAGAACAGCGCCAGCUUCAUAGGUGUUUAAUCUGAGCGGUCAUACUUAGAAGGGUUCUGUGUUUGGCUCAAUGCCCGCUGCCAUCAUCUUGGAAUUCUUAAUUUUUUUUUUGCACGGGUCCCCACAUUUUCGUUGUGUACUGUGCUCCACGCACCACGUAGCAGGUCCCCAGGGGGGGACUCUUUCACUGAGUUCUUAAGAGGAUUAAAUGAGACGACACCGGUAAAGCUCUCGGCANAUAACCUGAACUCGUUCACUGAGUUCUUAAGAGGAUUAAAUGAGACGACACCGGUAAAGCUCUCGGCACCUUGCCCGACA